rnacentral:ncRNA from 2 species
GGGCGCGUCCGCGACUGGCGAGGGUGGAUCACCACCGGGGAGCGGCACCGGAUCAUGAGCGGGGGCGUCGUCCGCCUGGGCGUCCCCG